rnacentral:ncRNA from 14 species
AACAAGGUUCCGUUUAUGAUCCUUCUCGCCCCGUUAUGGGUUCGAGUCGCACGGAAGCCUUAGCACUAUGUGCAUUGUAUUUUAAUACGCUGCACCCGUGCUAGUGCCAAUGAUGAUGUCAUUGGUGCGACGUCAUCAAACUGCGGGAAAGCUCCUAUAUGGCAUGGGAUACCAAGCACGGCAUCACACAUUGUGUGUGAUGAGUGUGGCUGAGUUAAUGCACUCGGGUAAGGUAACAACCCCCAUGUCAAGAGGACCGACCUGCAGCCAAGCCUUUGGUUAUACCAAGGGUGCUGUUCACAGACUAAAUGAUGACGGGUUGCUAAUCACAAAGCGUGAUUGCAGCUCAAGAUAUAGUCGGACUCACUCUAGAGUGAGACAACACGUAAUACCUUCCCGCACGUGAAUUCACCGUUCCGUAGG